AGGUCUUUUCUAUUGCUGGUGUUAUACAGCUUCCAACACUGCUUCGGGAACUUCAGAGGAGCCUACAUCUCACAGGCUGUCUAGUAGCACUGUGUCUCAUGCUUACUUGUACUUGAAAUUGAGGAUGAUAUCUAAAGCAAGGAAGGGAGCUUCAAAGCAAAAGAUUAGUUCUCCACUGCCUGAGAUUAGGGAUCCAGGAGGAGGAGCAUUGGUGUCCCUGGCACUGUGUGCCAAAGCAGUGAAAACAUUCAAAGGAGAGAGUCUCAAAACCAUCAGAACCCAUGAUCAGGCCUGACGAUGGAGAGCUUUGUAAGAUGCAAGAACAAGACAGUAGGGAGUGCUGGAAGUGACUGACCAUGAAGGAUACUUGUUCUAUACAGCAUGAUGCUCUGCACCCCCAAAAGCUUCAGAGAACCCUCUCAAAAGGAAUUUCUAACUUUUAUAG
ensembl:lincRNA AA545190 EST AA545190